GAUGAACGCUAGCUACAGGCUUAACACAUGCAAGUCGAGGGGAAACGAUAGAGAAAGCUUGCUUUUUCUAGGCGUCGACCGGCGCGCGGGUGAGUAACGCGUAUCCCAUCUGCCCAUCACUUGGGGAUAACCUUGCGAAAGUAAGACUUAUACCCAAUGACGUCUAUAAAAGACAUCUGAAAGGGUAUAGAGAUAUAUCGUUGAUGGAUGGGGAUGCGUCUGAUUAGGUAGUUGGCGGGGUAACGGCCCACCAAGGCGACGAUCAGUAGGUGGUCUGAGAGGAAGGUCCGCCACAUUGGAACUGAGACACGGUCCAGACUCCUACGGGAGGCAGCAGUAAGGAAUAUUGGUCAAUGGACGAGAGUCUGAACCAGCCAAGUAGCGUGCAGGAUGACGGUCCUAUGGGUUGUAAACUGCUUUUAUAUGGGAAUAAAGUGAGAGUCUUGACACUAUUUGAAGGUACCUUAUGAAUAAGGACCGGCUAAUUCCGUGCCAGCCGCCGCGGUAA
rnacentral:rRNA from 1 species